rnacentral:lncRNA from 1 species
GUGAGAAUGGGAUUUGAACCCAGGACCCCAGCUGAUCCUGCUCUUUCUGGCACCCUUCUGUGCCCAAGGGUGGCCAAUUUGUCCCUCUGGGCCCCUGGGCUUCCCAUUUGUAGACCUGCACGUGUUUGUGCCCCUGUGGGAUGUGGGGGUGCAGAGGGCUGACUCAACACUCCACUUCCUCUGUCCACGUGAACAGGAAGGGCCAGGGCAGCCUGGAGCCCCUUCCUCCUUCUAAGGCCAGCCUCUGAAGGGACCGCUCCUUGUCCCUGUAGGCAGGGGAUGCUCCCAAAGUCUAGGGCCCUGUCAGUGUCCCUCUUGCCAGAUGGCCCUGGGCAGGGUCUGCCCCCUGCCAGGGUGUGCCCCAAACAGGACACUGGGCAGAAACCAGGAGGGGUGGUGAAGGGAGCCCCGUCCGCCCUGGCCCUGCCGAGGUGUCUGGCAAAGGUGGAGAGUCCAGCCCCAGCCAGGACAGGGCUCCCCUAGGUGGCGUGGAGCUGGCGCUGGGCCUCCCUGACCCAGGCCCUGCCCUGGCCCACCUAUCUGGUCACCAGCAUCGGACAGCAGGUGACACUCCAGGUCGCCCGCCAGGUAACCCAGCCGUCUCCAUGGAGCCCUGGCCGCAGGCCAGGGCCACUGCCGGGAGUAGAGGUCACCAGUGACUGCUCGGAGGCUCCUCUGACCCUCGGGCUCUCAGCACCAACAGGUUGGCGAGCGGCGGGCACCCAGGAGGCCCCAAGGACCCGCCCCGCUCCGGGAGAAGGCGGACGAGGCCCUGGGCUUAGACUUCUGGGCUGCUCCCGUACACAGCGGGUGCUCACUAAGUGCAGGUCGCCAAGGACCGCGGGCCGUGUCUCCCCUCAUCAGAAAACAACCAGGCACUUUCCGACCUCAGGGCCUCUGCUCAGUGGCUCCUCCGCUGGAUCACUGCCCCCGGAUUCUUGCCUCGGCCUCGGACCGCACCUCCUCCGUCUGGUUCAGGCUUCAUGAUUGCUUUAUUAGAAAGUUCUUUGCUUGCUGGGUGUGGUGCACGCCUGUGAUCCCAGCACUCUGGGAGGCUGAGGCAGGAGGAUCACAAGUUCAAGCCCAUCCUGGGCAAUUUAGCAACUUAGCAAGACCCUGUCUCAAAAUUAGAUAAAGGGCUGGGGAUGCAGCUCAGUGUGAGCCCUGGGUUCAAUCCCAGUACCGCAAAAAAACAAAAAUUUUGGCCGGGGAUGGAGCUCAGUGGUUUCACCGCCUGCUGCGCAAGCGCAAGGACCCGAGUUCGAUCCCCGGUACCAAAAAAAUAAAAAUAAAAUAAAAUAAAAAAUUUUUAUUUCUCUUUUGAAAACUGCUCACCGUCCAGUGCCCUCCUCCCUUGUCUUCCCUGAC